CCUACGGGGGGCAGCAGUGAGGAAUAUUGGUCAAUGGACGAGAGUCUGAACCAGCCAAGUAGCGUGAAGGAUGACUGCCCUAUGGGUUGUAAACUUCUUUUAUAUGGGAAUAAAAUGUUCCACGUGUGGGAUUUUGUAUGUACCAUAUGAAUAAGGAUCGGCUAACUCCGUGCCAGCAGCCGCGGUAAUACGGAGGAUCCGAGCGUUAUCCGGAUUUAUUGGGUUUAAAGGGAUCGUAGGUGGAUUGUUAAGUCAGUUGUGAAAGUUUGCGGCUCAACCGUAAAAUUGCAGUUGAAACUGGCAGUCUUGAGUACAGUAGAGGUGGGCGGAAUUCGUGGUGUAGCGGUGAAAUGCUUAGAUAUCACGAAGAACUCCGAUUGCGAAGGCAGUUCACUGGACUGCAACUGACACUGAGGCUCGAAAGUGUGGGUAUCAAACAGGAUUAGAUACCCUUGUAGUC
rnacentral:rRNA from 1 species